UAUACCAAAAGCUCAGUCUCUUCUAUCUCGGCUGUUUUGUAUGUAAAAGGAUACUCAUUCUGACCCUCCUCUUCAUGUUAUGAAGACAAAUGUUUUAUAAACUUUGUGGAUACAUACGGUGAAUAUUUACAACAAGAUUUUUGCCUAAGAGGGUAGUGCUGAAGCUAACUUUCUUUGUAUUAAGACUGCUUGCUUGCAAUACCUGUCACUCGAUAUAGACCUGCUGUUCCAAGAUUUAUUUCAGUUCCUCUUCCCUAUCUGAAAAAUCACUGCCAGUUACUUGUUAAGGUAAAAAGAUGGCAGUUGGCCUGCCAAAGAUACGUCCCUUUAUGGAAUUUAGACAUGGGGGGAUACUAUCUGACAUAAUUUUCAGCAACUGAGAAGCCCUGUUGAGC
rnacentral:lncRNA from 1 species